AGUUAAUGAACUUGUUAAGUAUAUAUUUUGAAAAUAUAAUAAAGAGAUUCCUCUAUUAACUU
rnacentral:tRNA from 1 species